CCCCGCCCCCUCCCUGCGGCUGGGGUGCCUGGCGGGCCCGUUCGCCGGGUCUCUAGAGCAAGGGCCGCGGCGGGAGCGGGGAGCCGUGGGCGGGUCAUGGCAGCGCCGGGCGGCUCGUUGCCGGUGUGUGGGGCGGGCGCUGCGCCCCUCCACCGCCAGGAGCGGCCCCGAGGGGAGUGUUCUGUGUGGGCUGGGGCAGGGGAUGUGCCCUGUGCACUGUUGGAAAGGAGACACAUCCACCCUCCUUGAAUUGGUCUCGUUAGCACCGACCCCUCCCUCGUGGAAUUUUUUCUUAUAAUCUGCCACGUCAACACGGAGGACAUAAGAGAAAACUGAGAGUUUGGAAGGAAGAGUCAGCAUUUUGGCAAGUGCAUCCAUCCCAGAAGACUUCUCAGAGAGAACACGUAGACAAUGGAGACUGCUUGACCAAUGAGGGUGGACUCCAGCUCACAAGCAUAGAUCCUUCCUGCAAUUUGAAAGAAACUGUAAAAGAGGGUCACUCCCCCCAUAACUGAACACCUGGAAACACAUCUGGAGGACAAAGACUUUGAACCGGGGAGGGUCAUCCCAGGCUGGGAGGCAGUUCCAGCCUGUAUAUUGAAGAUCUGCAACCUGUUUAUACCAUCUGUCAGGCUGUAAGGUGAUGAGUCAUCCCUGAACUAGAGCCAGAUUAAGCCAUGUACACUAAUAAGUCAUUCCUGUGCUAGGCACCAGCCAAUCCACAACCCAGGAGCUGGUCUGGUGACUUUUAGGGUAGGUAUAUAAGCCUCACAGGAGGCACAGCAGAGCAGCUCACCCUGAUGAAUGUUACUUGAGAGCUGUGAACUUGCUCCUGUCUGAGAAUAGCAGUGGAUGUGCCAAACCUUAGCCUGCUCGAGCUUUGCUCUCACUCUGGUCUUGUUCCAACUUCAUACUGGACUCCUGAGUCCAGCUGUGACCCUAAUUAGGAAUGACUAUCCUCAUCAUGGUUGCUGACUUGUAGGCUUGAACUGGCUUCUGGAAUCUGUGUUUCUCCUGCAGGAGUUGAUGGCAUCACUGACAUCUAAAGCAGUGGUUCUCAACCAAGUGGUACAGGUUUGGUGAUACCAGCAAUUCUUGAAGGAGAAACACAAAACCCUAAACUCAGAUCUCAGCAGGUAAAAACCUUUGUUUACUUUUGAAUGAAUUUAUUUGUAACUGUAAAGCAAGUCCAGCACUCUGUAAUGUUGUCAGAUCUUACGUGUUUUUUGUAUGCCCUGGAGAAUUUAUUUAUUUUGAAAAGCAUUUCAAUUCAACUUUAAAGAACUAUUUAAAAAAGUGGUAGCUACUUAUGGGUUAUUCUUAUUUGAAUAAGAAUAGAGCUGGGUGGGAAAGUGUCAUUCCCAGCCCCUGGAAUACAACAUUCUCCGAGGAAAACACAUUGACAUCAGGGCACCCUCUAGGGGCCAGUAUAUACUCAUACAUGUAGAAUUUUUAUGAUUCUGGGAAUAAUCUAAAAAAUAUUGUGCUUGU